UACGGGGGGGGCAAGCGUUGUUCGGAAUUACUGGGCGUAAAGGGCUCGUAGGUGGCCAACUAAGUCAGACGUUAAAUCCCUCAGCUUAACUGGGGAACUGCGUCUGAUACUGGAUGGCUUGAGUUUGGGAGAGGGAUGCGGAAUUCCAGGUGUAGCGGUGAAAUGCGUAGAUAUCUGGAGGAACACCGGUGGCGAAGGCGGCAUCCUGGACCAACACUGACACUGAGGAGCGAAAGCCAGGGGAGCAAACGGG
rnacentral:rRNA from 1 species